AUAUUGUUCGCCAGAGAACUACAAGUGAAAAACUCAAAACUCCAAGGACUUGGCGGUGCCCCACACCGACCUAGAGGAGCCUGUCCUACAAUCGAUACCCCACGCUAAACCCAACCACCCCUCGCCAGUCAGCCUAUAUACCGCCGUCGUCAGCCCACCUUAUGAAAGAAGAACAGUUGGCAAGAUAGUUAACAACAAACACGUCAGGUCAAGGUGUAGCACAUGAGGUGGCAGAGAUGGGCUACAUUCUCUACUCCAGAACACACGGAUGGCAUAAUGAAACCUUAUACCUAAAGGCGGAUUUAGCAGUAAGACAAACAAGUAUUUCUGUAUUAAACCAGCUCUGGGGCGCGCACACACCGCCCGUUCACCCUCCUCAAA
rnacentral:rRNA from 1 species